rnacentral:lncRNA from 1 species
UGCACACAUGCUUGAAUUUGUUGGCAAGUGGAGAGAUGAGAGAUGUUUAGAAGGGUUUAGAGGAGAAUGGGAUAACUNUAUGGACAAGUCAUUCCUCAUAUAAUCCUCAAAGGAGAUGUGAUAUGAGAAUGUCAGGGUGAACACGAGAAACACAAAGGGUGCCCUAGCUUGAUGUUAUGGAAAAUGAGCUGGGGUUUGAAUCCAUGAAAGUUAGGGUGAGAUAAUUUCAAAUGAGAUUUGUAAAGCUGCCCCCAGGCUUGAGGUUAUGGAUUAAUGAAAAACUUGUGUGAGACUCACAAAGUCGCCCAAUUUUUC